rnacentral:lncRNA from 1 species
AUGCGCAGGCGCCGCGGCCGCCGCCACCUCCGCUGUAAAGGCGGAAGAGGCGGGACACCCUUCCGCAGACGGCCGCCGACCGGAAGCGGGAGUCGGCUGGGGACGCCAGAGGGAGGGAGAGAGGAAGGAGGGAGAAAACUGAGGGACAGGGGGAGGGGGAAAGGGAGGAGGAUGGAAGGGGGAGGGAAGAGGCGGACGCACCCUGAUCAUCUCCCCUGUGACGACAGAGUGAGGGCCUCAGCCCCUCCCCCGCGCAGAGCGUGGAGCUGCGUUGCGCCUGCGCGUCCCUGGGAGCGUAGAGGUUUCGACGCCUACGCGAUAGGUGUGCGUGCUCCAGCCCCGGGAGCUUCGGUUCGCCGUCUCCUGCCUCCUGCUGGGGUCAUCAUGGCGGCGGCGGUGCUGGGCCGCGGGUCCGGCCGCCUGGCCCAAAUCACCCUGGAGCUGCUAGCAGAGAGGUCUUUCUGGGCCUUCGGCGCCAGACAGGGGACAGGCAGAGGAAGGAAGAAACUUAUUACUCCAUCUCCAAAAUAGAUAUGGGUUCCAUUUGGGUUUAAACAGAAGACUUAAUCCCAGGAUGAGCAGAAAAAAGCUCAACAUCCAUCUAAGUGACUCUGAUUGCACCACCAUCCUUACUCUGCAUUGCAAGUACCAAAUUUCAUGAUAAAUUCAAGAGAAAUAAAAACUUCAGAUCCAAAUAUACAUAAAUCACUUGUAAUAUUUUAAAGUCAAGAAGUAAAGUCUUAUCCUCUAGAUUUUUCACUAUUCAUAUAAUUUUCCACAAGUUGAGAAAAAGCUAUUUGCUUCAAAUGCUAAUUUGUGAUAAAUCAGAAGUAUAAAUGUUCGCAAAUAGGGAACUUAACUGUGUGCCAAAAAAGGUAACAAUAGAAAAUAAAACCCUUUUUACUUGAAAAUGUCAUUACAGUUCAAAAACAUUUUCAGAAAACAGAAAACUCAUAGCAACAAUUUUUUAAAUCUUCACACAUACACACUCUAGGUUUCUCAGUCAUUAAUCAAAAGCCCUGAAGGAUAUGUGAUACAUUCACAAUCAUUCAAACUAGGACAAGCCUACUAUAGAAUUUCUUUUACUUAAAAAAAAAAAAAAUCAAGCUAAUUUUCCAUAAAAUAUAGUUAUUUAAUUUAUAAUACCUACUGAAGAUGAUUGCUAAUUCCACAAAGUAUAACUUAAAACCUUCCAAAGUUACAUAAGGGAGGAAAUCCAAUUAAUUUUUCUAUUCCAGAGACUCGGUGUAGACUCGCUUUUUUACGGGUUUAUAACCUGGAUACAAGCUGUCAACUGGAGAAAUAGGCCAACGGUGUUACUUUUGUGGUUUUUAGUUAUCUGUGUGACACUGAGAAGCAUUUUCUUUAAUACCAGUAAAGUUCCAUGAUAUGUGAUUUUUGCAUUCAGAAACUGAUAUGUCAAAUCUUCAUUUAUUUUUGAAGUUAUUUUUUUAAAGACCUUGUUGAAAACAUGUCCACAUUAGCAAAGUCUUUUUAAAAAGCUGUAUUAUUAGGGUUUCAGUAGACUUUAGAUGUACAUUUUCAUAUAAACCUAAAUUCCACAGCAGCUCUGACAUUGAGAUUUGAGUAAUGCAUGUUGUGCUUUUAUCUUUAAAGAAUAUAUUCUGCAACCUACAUGCCAUUAUGAAAAUCUAUCCAAAUCCUAUCAAGAAGAAACAUCAUUUCUUAUGGGAUUUCUCUUACCAUUUUUUUUAAAGAUGCAGAUAUUACCUUGGGUCAGUUUUUAUUUUGGGGGCUUUCAUUUGGGCAGAUUGUGAGAAAUACCUUGUUAUCACAGUCCUUAUAAGUCUCAUAUAUAUAAGCAAAUAAUGCAAACAAAUAUAAUUGAACUAUCAGUUGAUGUAGUCCCAUAUCCUUACUGGUUAAACUUAUAUAUCUUCUUUUAUUAAUUUGUUCCAUAUGAAAUUCAAUUUAUCCAGGGGUUUUGGCACAGAACACUAAAAAGGGCAACUUUUAAAAUUGGCUUUACAUAUUUAAAAUUAAAGUCUUUAAAUCAACGUUAUUUUAUUACUGUUGAACUAUGAUCAGAAUCACAGCAUUGUAUAAGCAAUAAUAAAACCUCCUCUAGAAUCUCCUGCUUCUGUUUUAUUUCUUGAAUUUACCCCAGGAAAUAUGUAGAGUGUUGUACUUUCUUUUCCUUCAGAAAUAAAAGGUUGAUGAAGGAAAAUAGUGAUAGUUUCCUGUUUUGAAUGCACCAGUACCAAUACUUUGAAGAACUGACAGUGUACUCUACAGAUAUAUGUGCCAUAGACUACGAAAAAGGAAACACUUUAGGAAAAAAAUCACAUUACAAAGUGUAUUAUAAAAAUAAAUUACAUAGCAUGUGCCCGUGGACCUGAAAGCUUUGCAGAAAGGAAAUUUAUUUUGACACAAAGAUUGAAUUGCUCUUGCUACCUAUUUUCAUAUUAUCAGCAAUGCCAUUUUCAGCUUUUACAUUAUUAUAUCCUCAAAAAAAAAUCACUGGAAGUAGAAAAUUAUUUCCAGUAGUGAUCAGUAGCAUGGAGGACCUUAGUGAUGAUGGAGGGCUGCAGAAAUACUACUCAUUCAACACGGAUUCAGAGGAAGUACACGCACCCCA